UCCGAGUUGACCCCGGUAGUCUCCUAUGAGUCCCCGCCAUAACGCGCUGGCAACAUAGAACGAGGGUUGCGCUCGUUGCGGGACUUAACCCAACAUCUCACGACACGAGCUGACGACAACCAUGCACCACCUGUAAACCGGCCCCGAAGGGAAACCGCAUCUCUGCAGCCCAUACUGGACAUGUCAAACGUGGGUAAGGUUCUUCGCGUUGCUUCGAAUUAAUCCGCAUGCUCCGCCGCUUGUGCGGGCCCCCGUCAAUUCCUUUGAGUUUUAACCUUGCGGCCGUACUCCCCAGGCGGGGCACUUACUGCGUUAGCGACGGCACCGGGAGGGUCGCUCCCCCCGACGCCUAGUGCCCAUCGUUUACGGCGUGGACUAC
rnacentral:misc_RNA from 1 species